rnacentral:rRNA from 1 species
UACGUAGGGGGCAAGCGUUGUUCGGAAUUACUGGGCGUAAAGGGCGCGUAGGCGGCACAGCAAGUCGGGAGUGAAAGCCCGGGGCUCAACCCCGGAACUGCUUUCGAAACUGCUGAGCUAGAGUGCGGAAGAGGCAACUGGAAUUCCCAGUGUAGCGGUGAAAUGACGUAGAUAUUGGGAAGAACACCGGAGGCGAAGGCGGGUUGCUGGGC